UUAAGUUCAGCGGGUAUCCCUACCUGAUCCGAGGUCAAAAUGGUGAGUGUAGCUUCUGGGAGCCGCCCAGUCCGGCGCACGAGUUUGCGUUUCUGCUGCGCUCGUGGCCGUGCGGGGGCCGCCAAUGGAUUUGAGGUGAGUCCACGCGCGGGGCGGGACAGGCACCCAACACCAAGCAGGGCUUGAAGGUGUAAAUGACG
rnacentral:misc_RNA from 1 species